UGUAGAGGGGGGUAGAAUUCCAGGUGUAGCGGUGAAAUGCGUAGAGAUCUGGAGGAAUACCGGUGGCGAAGGCGGCCCCCUGGACAAAGACUGACGCUCAGGUGCGAAAGCGUGGGGAGCAAACAGGAUUAGAUACCCUGGUAGUCCACGCCGUAAACGAUGUCUACUUGGAGGUUGUGCCCUUGAGGCGUGGCUUCCGGAGCUAACGCGUUAAGUAGACCGCCUGGGGAGUACGGCCGCAAGGUUAAAACUCAAAUGAAUUGACGGGGGCCCGCACAAGCGGUGGAGCAUGUGGUUUAAUUCGAUGCAACGCGAAGAACCUUAC
rnacentral:rRNA from 7 species